AUAAUCGAAAGUUACAUGGAUAACCGUGACAAAUUACAGCUAAUACAUGCACAAAGACCUGGUCCAAGGGUCGUAAUUAUUAGUACUAAACCAAUUCCGCAAGGAAUGUGAUGAAUCAUAGUAAUCGAACGAAUCGCAGGUACAUGCGAUAAAUCAUUCAAGUUUCUGCCCUAUCAGCUUUGGAUGGUAGUGUAUUGGACUACCAUGGCAGUCACGGGUAACGGAGAAUUAGGGUUCGAUUCCGGAGAGGGAGCCUGAGAAACGGCUACCACAUCUACGGAAGGCAGCAGGCGCGAAAAUUGCCCAAUCCUGACACGGGGAGGCAGUGACAAGAAAUAACAACUCUAGGUUUUCUUAGAAGUGUAAUGAGGAUAAUUUACAAAACCUUACCGAAUGCAAUUGGAGGGGCAAGUCUGGUGCCAGCAGCCGCGGUAAUUCCAGCU
rnacentral:rRNA from 1 species